rnacentral:rRNA from 1 species
GAGUUUGAUCCUGGCUCAGGAUGAACGCUGGCGGCGUGCUUAACACAUGCAAGUCGAACGGUGAAGCCAAGCUUGCUUGGUGGAUCAGUGGCGAACGGGUGAGUAACACGUGAGCAACCUGCCCUGGACUCUGGGAUAAGCGCUGGAAACGGCGUCUAAUACUGGAUAUGAGCCUCUAUCGCAUGGUGGGGGUUGGAAAGAUUUUUUGGUCUGGGAUGGGCUCGCGGCCUAUCAGCUUGUUGGUGAGGUAAUGGCUCACCAAGGCGUCGACGGGUAGCCGGCCUGAGAGGGUGACCGGCCACACUGGGACUGAGACACGGCCCAGACUCCUACGGGAGGCAGCAGUGGGGAAUAUUGCACAAUGGGCGGAAGCCUGAUGCAGCAACGCCGCGUGAGGGAUGACGGCCUUCGGGUUGUAAACCUCUUUUAGCAGGGAAGAAGCGAGAGUGAC